rnacentral:rRNA from 1 species
AGUACCCGGAGGAAGAGAAAACAAUCAAGUGAUUCCGCAAGUAGUGGCGAGCGAACGCGGAGCAGCCCAAACCGCAUCCUACGGGGUGCGGGGUAGUAGGACCUGCGUAAGAAUUAUUAUCUUAAAUCGAAGCUGUCUGGAAAGCAGCGCCACAGAAGGUGAAAGCCCUGUAGGUGUACCGAUAAUAAUUUGGCGGGUAUCCUGAGUAGCGCGAGACCGGUGAAAUCUUGCGUGAACCAGCCGGCACCAUCCGGUAAGGCUAAAUACAUCUGCAUGACCGAUAGUGAACCAGUACCGU